rnacentral:rRNA from 1 species
CGUAGGGUGCGAGCGUUAAUCGGAAUUACUGGGCGUAAAGCGUGCGCAGGCGGUUUUGUAAGACAGAUGUGAAAUCCCCCGGGCUCAACCUGGGACCUGCAUUUGUGACUGCAAGGCUAGAGUACGGUAGAGGGGGAUGGAAUUCCGCGUGUAGCAGUGAAAUGCGUAGAUAUGCGGAGGAACACCGAUGGCGAAGGCAAUCCCCUGGACCUGUACUGACGCUCAUGCACGAAAGCGUGGGGAGCAAACAGGAUUAGAUACCCUGGUAGUCCACGCCCUAAACGAUGUCAACUGGUUGUUGGGUCUUUACUGACUCAGUAACGAAGCUAACGCGUGAAGUUGACCGCCUGGGGAGUACGGCCGCAAGGUUG